rnacentral:lncRNA from 1 species
CACCUACUGAAGGAAGUUCUCAAGUUUUGAUUGAGUUCUAAAAGUUUUUUGAAGAUUGGAAUUCUUCAUAUGUAAAAAGAGAAAAAUACAUUCUUGAUUUUGGUGACUAGAGUUGUGGACGCCGGAAAGCUCUGCCACUAAGAUUGAUGAACCAGACGCAUGUCACUGACCAGUCACAGAUUCUUAAUGCCGGCACCAUGGCCUGGCACUGUCACGUUUUCCAGGGAACCUGCCCGAGCUCCUGCAGAAGCUGCUCCUCGGGCCAAUGGAGUCCCUUAGCUGGUAGGCCCUUCUUUAGUCACCACAGGAUGCCUGCUGUUCAUGAACAGGAAGGAGAGGAUGGGCUUUGAAUAAAACACAGGUAACUAAGUUUCCCAACUGCUUUUCUUUGAUUAAGAUUUCAGUCUUGGCUGGGCAUGGUGGCUCACGCCUGUAAUCUCAGUAUUUUGGGAGGCCGAAGUGGGCAGAUCACGAAGUCAGGAGAUUGAGACCAUCCCUGGCCAACAUGGAGAAACCCUGUCUCUACUGAAAAAAUACAAAAUUAGCCGGGCGUGGUGGCGCAUGCCUGUAACCCAGCUACUCGGGAGGCUGAGGUAGGAGAAUCACUUGAACCCAAGAGGUGGAGGUUGCGGUGAGUGGAGAUCACGCCAUUGCAAUCCAGCCUGAGCAACAAGAGCAAAACUCCUUCUCAAAAAAAAAAAAAAAAAAAAACUCCUCCGAGUUGCACAUGGCUUGUCCGCUUGUCCCUGCUUGGCUACAGACUGUGUGCUCAGUCUGCUUCUAGGACCUUUACGCAAGUGUCUGGCCUGCAUCAGUGUGAAUGCUUGUUCUUGGAAUGCUUGCCCACAGCUCCCCUGGGUUGACUUCUUCUGGGAAGCUCUCGAGUAGCUGGGAUUACAGGCAUGCACCACCAUGCCCGGCUAAUUUUCUGUAUUUUUAGUAGAGACGGAGUUUCUCCAUGAUUUUCAUUUUUUAAAUGCUUUUUUGAGAUUUGUUUUGUGGCCUAAAAUGUGGUCUAUCCUGGAGAAUGUUUUGUGAGCUGAUGAGAAGAACGUAGGUUCUGAAGUUGGUGGGUGAAAUAUUCUGUAAUUACCUGUCAGGUCCCUCUGACUUCUAUUUUGGUGUGUAAGUCUGGUCUUCGUUGCUUUUCUGCCUAGAGGGUGUGUCUGUUGCUAAGAGUGGGUGUUGGAGUCCCCAGCUAUUGUUGCCUGUCUCUGUUUUUCGAUGACUCUUACUUUAAUAACUGGGGCUCCUGCGUCAGCUGUGUUUACAUUGACAGCUGUUCCACCCUCUUGCUGAAUUGAUCCCUUUAUCAUUUUAUAAUGACCUUUAUUUUCUAUUUUUGUGCUUUCUAGACUUAAAGCCCAUUUUGUGUGACAAGCAUAGCAGUGGUGACUCCUUUCCUUUCUGAUCUUCACCAAACCUCGCUUCUUCACAUUUACCGAAAUGUCUACUUAGAGCCAUGGCACCUCUUUGAAUUUUCACAUCUACUGCAUGGUGAUGGUAGAUUUCCUUUUCAUCUGUACUCUGAAGGAAUCCCAAACAGGCAUUUUUACAAGUCUAGGAAGGAAACAUAAAUCUAUGUGUCAAAAGAAUGAAUAUAGAAAAUAACGUGUCCUGGUUAACAAAAGUUCUCAUUGUAAAGUGUUAUGCACAAGAUUAUGGAAUUUUAUGUGCCAUAAAUGAAGUUGUCUUCAUUUGUCUAAAACUACUUUUAAAAAUUACAUGUUACUUUAAUAAAGGUUUUUUUUGAGAAUUUGGUGACUUAUUAUUUCCUAGACCUCUCUAAUUUCAUAUUAAAUUCCAGCAUAUUUUGUUUUUGUAUUUGGCUUUCACAUCAUAAAUUACUUAGUUCAUAAUUAAACAUUUUGAAUGGAUCUAAUGGAUUGUGUGGUUGUCUAAAUGUUAAGAGUCUGAAGACCUCAAGUGGGCAGGAGCUGGGCAGGGGGAGGAUCACGGUGCAGGCAGGAC